UACGUAGGGUGCAAGCGUUGUCCGGAAUUAUUGGGCGUAAAGAGCUCGUAGGCGGUCUGUCACGUCGGCUGUGAAAACCUGGGGCUCAACUCCGGGCCUGCAGCCGAUACGGGCAGACUAGAGUUCGGCAGGGGAGACUGGAAUUCCUGGUGUAGCGGUGAAAUGCGCAGAUAUCAGGAGGAACACCGGUGGCGAAGGCGGGUCUCUGGGCCGGAACUGACGCUGAGGAGCGAAAGCGUGGGGAGCGAACAGG
rnacentral:rRNA from 1 species